rnacentral:misc_RNA from 1 species
AUGGGCACAAGCUUUUCAACUUCAGUUUAACGUCUCCUAUCCCGAAAUUCCCUCAUGGUGUACUCAGCGAAGAUGGGUUUUACAAGGUGGCAGUGAACGAAUCUGUGCUUUGGUUUCAGCUAUGCAAUGGAAUGAUUUUUAAUCACGAUCCACCUAGAUGUGUUGACUGCCAGGAUUGUGGGGGCCCAUUACAUUGUGGCAUGGAAUGUAGUGCACUUCUGGCAAACAACAAAGGAGGUUAUGAUGUAUGCACUACCAUUGGAGACGUCUCAAGCACUAUCACUAGCAUCAUUGAUAAGCAGAAUCCACAAAAGGGUGUCAUUGUUACGAUGUCAAAUUAUGUUAAGACGUCCUCUGGCUCUGAGAAUUGUUCACUCUCUGUAUCUGUCAUUUGCGAUUCAAAUGGUGUUCAAGGGCCACAUUCA